rnacentral:rRNA from 1 species
AUUGAACGCUGGCGGCAUGCCUUACACAUGCAAGUCGAACGGCAGCACGGGAGCAAUCCUGGUGGCGAGUGGCGAACGGGUGAGUAAUAUAUCGGAACGUGCCCAGUAGUGGGGGAUAGCCCGGCGAAAGCCGGAUUAAUACCGCAUACGACCCAAGGGUGAAAGCGGGGGACUCGCAAGAGCCUCGCGCUAUUGGAGCGGCCGAUAUCAGAUUAGCUUGUUGGCGGGGUAAAAGCCCACCAAGGCGACGAUCUGUAGCUGGUCUGAGAGGACGACCAGCCACACUGGGACUGAGACACGGCUCAGACUCCUACGGGAGGCAGCAGUGGGGAAUUUUUGGACAAUGGGCGCAAGCCUGAUCCAGCCAUGCCGCGUGUGGGAAGAAGGGCCUUCGGGUUGUAAACCACUUUUUGUCUAGGGAAGAAACGGGUCUGGACCUAAUAUGUUGGACUAAUGACGGUACCUGAAGAAUAAAGCACCGGG